GGGGUGCAGUUUUUCUUCCUGUUGUAGAAAGCAAUCAGGACUUCAUAUGGCCGUUUGAAUGCACGCCAGUGAUGGUCUCCACAACAAAACAACAAUCCAGAAAAACAUAUGUUACAUCACAUUGAAUUUUAACAGAUAAUAAUACUGUGAGAGGGUUGGUCCUGAUAUAAAAUCACAACAAA